AUGACGCUGGCGGCAGGCUACACUGCAAGGUCAAACGGUAACAGGAUGUGCUUGCACAUCGCUGACGAGUGGCGGACGGGUGAGUAAUGCUUAGGGAUCUGCCUCUGUGUGGGGGAUAACUAUUGGAAACGAUAGCUAAUACCGCAUAAUGUUUACGGACCAAAGGGGGCGUUUGCUCCCGCGCAGAGAGGAACCUAAGUGAGAUUAGCUAGUUGGUAAGGUAAUGGCUUACCAAGGCGACGAUCUCUAGCUGUUCUGAGAGGAAGAUCAGCCACACUGGGACUGAGACACGGCCCAGACUCCUACGGGAGGCAGCAGUGGGGAAUAUUGCACAAUGGGGGGAACCCUGAUGCAGCCAUGCCGCGUGUGUGAAGAAGGCCUUCGGGUUGUAAAGCACUUUCAGUUGUGAGGAAAGGUUAGUAGUUAAUACCCGCUAGCUGUGACGUUAGCAACAGAAGAAGCACCGGCUAACUCCGUGCCAGCAGACGCGGUAAUACGGAGGGUGCGAGCGUUAAUCGGAAUUACUGGGCGUAAAGCGCACGCAGGCGGUUCUGUUAAGCUAGAUGUGAAAGCCCCGAGCUCAAACUUGGGAUGGUCACUUUAGAACUGGCAAGACUAGAAGUCUUGGGAGAGGGGAGUGGAAUUUCUAAUGUAGCCGGUGAAAUGCGUCGAUUAUUACCAAGGAACCAUCAGUGGCGAAGGCGAAUCCUUGGCCAAAGACUGA
rnacentral:rRNA from 1 species